GACGUAGGGGGCCAGCGUUGUUCGGAAUUACUGGGUGUAAAGGGUUCGUAGGCGGUGUGUCGCGUCGGCCGUGAAAACUUGGGGCUUAACUCUGAGCGUGCGGUCGAUACGGGCAUCACUUGAGUUCGGCAGGGGAGACUGGAAUUCCUGGUGUAGCGGUGACAUGCGCAGAUAUCAGGAGGAACACCGGUGGCGAAGGCGGGUCUCUGGGCCGAUACUGACGCUGAGGAGCGAAAGCAUGGGGAGCGAACAGG
rnacentral:rRNA from 1 species